AAAGGAAGAGAUGCAGUCAGUACCUCUGCCUGGGGGCUUACCCAGGUAAGAGGCAGGGGGCCUGUAGGCUGGAACACCUAGGCCAAGGACCAGAUGGAGAAUGUGCAGAUAUUCACCUUUAUGACAGCAGUUGGACCAGAAGAGAGGUUGAGACCACUAGGGAGCCCCACAGAACCUCAACCCAGCUGAGAGAGAUCAGCCUGCCAACUUUAGGAACAAUAGGACUCAUAUCAUAAAAGCUAUCAGACAAGGGAUAUACCCUCAGGAAGAAACCCAAGGAGGCAGAAGACACAUGGCAAUGCAGGAACCAUUCCACUCUCCAACUGUGAAAUUGUCUCAUGACACUGCUCCUGUCUUACUCCGCACAUAUCCCAAAUGCCGUCCUGGAAAAAGGCAAUGGAAAGUGGAGAAAGUGACGGAAGCAUAGCCCUCUUACCUGAAGAGUCAUAGACUCUCCGAAAAGACCAUUUAGGAGGUUCAGAGCCCUGAUAAAGAUUCAAUUUUCAAUGAAAGAAUGUUUAUGCUGAAAGGAAAGUAUUGAAAUGGAAGAAUCUGGAAUAUCAUUAAUGGGCAGGGCUGAGUUCUGCCUGUUUCUCAGGGGAAUAGGGCACUGGUGGAAACUUAAGGAGUGUUAGGCAGUAAUUAAUUGUCUGAAAGCAAGCUGUAUACAUUUGUUACUAUACUACGCAUUGUACUUUUCAACUUUAUGUAUGGUACAGUGCUUGCCUUUUUUUUUUUCUCCCAUAAUGCUCUCUGGAAAUCAAACUAUUUCAGCAGAGAAAUGAUAGAAUUAAAUGAUUUUAAAUAGAUCUUAAAAACCGUGAAAACUGCUCAUGGCAUUUUUACAGUUUGCCCUUGGGAAAUUGCCUUUCACACUCCUCUCUUAGAGCUCAACCACGGAGCAGAUUUGGCCGCUGAGGCGGCACUCCCAGCCCUCCGUGCAGGGAGUCUGGAAACAUGAAAAUGGUGGGCAAAUCGCCCUGGCCAGGUGGUUUGGUGGGUUGGAGCAUCAUCCAACGCGCCAGAAGAAAUAUGAAACAAAAGGCAAUAAGCAACAGAUUUCUUUGUUACUAGAAUCAGCCAAUCUGCAUUAGAUUCUUUCAACUGCUUGCAUGUCAAGAUUGUGAUCUUGGAAAAUGAAUGACACCAAUGUACUUCAACUGCAAAAUAUUAAAAGCUCUUUGGACAUGUUUCUGGACAGCAUGAUUAAAUGUUUAUGAGUGAUUUGUAUAAAUGACUGCUGGACAUUGUAAUAAUUAGGUAUAUCCCGAUACUACGAUAGUCUUUCCCCAACCUGAAAAUGCACUGACUAUGACACACUCGCCCCUCUAACAGCCCCUGUUCAGGGCGCAGACCUGAUUUUUUUUCCCUUUCUGAAGAGACUGGCUUUUAGUUUCAGCUAAUUUAAAAUUUUUUUAAUUUAACUUUUAUAUAAGUUCAAUUCACACAUCUGUGUGUAUAACUCUGUAAAUGUUUAUCUAUGUAUAUACCCAUAUAGCCCCCACCCAGAUCAAGAUACAUAUUUCUAGCACCCCCAGAAGGUUUCUUGUCCCCUUGUAAGGAAAUAACCUGAUUACUAAGACAACUGUUAUUCUGGUUUCUAUUACGCCUUUUUUUUUUUUGAACUGAUA